GACGAACGCUGGCGGCGUGCUUAACACAUGCAAGUCGAACGGUGAAGCGCUUUCCGUUUUGGUUGGUGGGGAGGGGUGGCCAACGGGGUAGUAACACGAUCGUAACCUGCUCCCUCCUUCUGGAUAACCGCAUGAAAGUGUGGCUAAUACCGGAUAUGCUGGGUCUGUCGCAUGAUGGGUCUGUGGGAGAUUUCGUUUCUGUGGGGGAUGGUCUCGCGGCGGAUCAGCUAGUUGGUGGGGUCAUGGCCUACCAAGGCGAGGUUGCGUGGCUGGUCUGAGGGGAGGAUCGGCCGCACAGGAAGUGAGAGAGGGUCCAGACUCCUACGGGAGGGAGCAGUGGGGGAGAUUGGACAAUGGGCGGAAGCAUGAUCCAGCCAGACCGCGUGGGUGAAGAAGGCCUUCGGGUGGUAAAGCCCUUUUGUUGGGAAAGAAAAGCAGCAGGCUAAUUUCCCGCUGGUGUGACGGUACCCAAAGAAUAAGCCCCGGCUAACUUCGUG
rnacentral:rRNA from 1 species